CUAGAGAACACAGAAGGGGACCUCCUGCUAGCCAGAUGAGGGGUCCUGGGCUGAGAGAAGACAGAUGCUGACGGAGCAAAGUGACUCCACAUAGUUCCCAAAGCACUCCCUUCUUGGUCCUGGGAAGCUGUCUGCAGGAUGUUCUUCGCUCCUUUGAACAAGCUGAGAAUACACAGAGUUGUGAUCUCCUGAGCGCUGUGGCGCACACUGAUGCAUCUAAGGCAAGUUAGGCCUGGCCAAGACUUCCUCCUUAGAGACAACUCACUCUCACUUAGGAAGAGAGAUGCCUGGCAUCAACAAGGAGCAAACUGGGUUUAACUUGGUUUUCAUGCACAUGGGUUCAAUGGGAAAACUCCUUUUGGAAUUGACCACAGUCCCUAGAAAUGCCUAGAAAUCCCAUCCUCUUGGAGAAAGGGAAGGCAGGACACAGAACUUUAGUUUUAGUAGGCAGACACUAAGGAACCCUACUCACUCAGCCUCCCUUAGGGAGGUCUCAAGAAGUAAGGCACUCGGGCUACUAAAUGGUGGGAGGUUUGUGGACCUGGGCCCAAGUGCCAGGCAAGAGGCAUGAUCCCAUCAAGAAAGGCCUUUCUGAGCUAUGGAAAUUCUACUGGAAUUUGGACGCCACCCUGAUUAACAUCUAGCACCGACUUGGUCUUUGUCAUUGGUUUGUGGUUGUUUUUUAUGGAGGGUGGGGGUGUCAUAGAAAAUAACAGAUGUUGCCCAUUUUCCCAACCACCUCCUGCACUUCCUGUUGGAUAUCAGCCAGUGCUAGUGAAAUUUCAAGUGUUCAGUCUGAAAAUUUUAACGCCCUUUUAAGUCUGAAGAACGAAAACAAACCAUGUGGCUCGACCCUAGAGUGAACUACUUUGGCUUUUCUUCUCAGUGAUACAUUAAUUAGUAAACAACAUUUGGAAGAACAGGAAAAUAUUCCGCUGGCUUUCAAAGUAACUGCAGAGGGGGUUGACAGACUUUGAUCACUUGGUCAAAGAAAGCAUAGAAAAACAAAAAACAAACACGUGUUUCAGCAGGAUCUAAAAAUUGUUCACAGGGCCCUAAUAAAUGAGAAUUUAUUUCUUGAUGUAAUAUCAUAAAGUCUUUAUGCUGCAUAAAAAGAUAAUUCAGUAAUAAUUUGCUAAAAAAAAAUGACCCAAAGUCUCUCUCUCUGUCAGCAAAACUGUUUCACGGUGGUAAAUACAUGAGUUGAACUCAGACAGGGUCCAGCUUCCAAAUUUAAGAAAAGUGUUUGCAAGAAGGAUUUAUUAAAUUAACUUAUCCAGAGGGGGAAAGGGGAACUUUGAAAUUUUUAAAUUCUCAUUAUUUUUCUCAUUUCAAAAGUACUGUGAAAAAAAUGUGGAAAUUAAGCAAUUCAAAGACACAAGUAAAGGUAAAAAUAAAACAGUAAUUCCCUUUCUACCUGGAAGAGAGGUAUUGUCAUGAAUGUGAUACAGUUUUCACAGAAAAGGAUCAGAAUCUAUGUACUGUUUUGAAAACGACUCCUUUGUUCGAAAUGAAAUCUUAAUUUGUUUCCAAAUCAACGACAGCCAGCUUUUUCGGGUGUCUUUGAUUACAAGGUGAGAACAGUGGACCAGGUGAGUGGAUGGGCAUUUUCCUAAAGCUGGGCAAAAGCGGUGCACAGCUCUUUAUUUUAAAUAAUGUCACUAUGAAUUAGAUUUUAUUUAUUUAUUUAUUUAUUUUACCUUUACUCUGAGAUGUAUGCUUGAUUCAUGACCAGCCCGCAGAGGGGAGAGGUUAGGGGAGGUGUGGUGCAGAGGAGAGGUUAGGCAAGGUUUGGGUGUGACACGUUGGUUUCCUCCUCUUCCUUCUCCUUUCUGUUUUUUGCAGAUCGAGCACUGAGAGGUCCUCACCCCUACAGCACUAAUGAACGCCUCAUCUCUCCUGGUAGAUUUUACUACAUGUGGGAAGGGGGUUCUAGAGCCCCACUGAGAUGGUCAGGGAAUCCCUGGGGGUGAAAAAGAGGUGGGAUUUCCACUCUAGGUCCUUCAGGCAAAGAUAAAUCAGCAUAGCCUGUCUCUUGGAAGGAGUGGUGGGGAAAGACAGGUCAUCACACACACACACACACACACACACACACACACACACACUCCCAUCACUGCAUGGUCAACACAAAGGUUUUAGGGUGAGGCUGGACAUCAGCAGGAAGCUUCCUGGUUUCACUGAGGAAUACUUGUCUAAUACUGGGCUGAGUGACAGUCUUUUCCUGCAGUCUGCUGGGGCCACAGAGGAACAAAAGAAAGCCAGUUGACUUUUUUUUUUAAAAGUGGACAAUGAUCCUAUCAGCACCAUUGAAAAGGAAAGAGGAGAGGAGGAGCAAAAGUAGGAGAGGUCUGAGGUCAGAGAGUGCUGUUCCUGCAGAAUCUGUCUUGAAGGGGUGAUUUCAUGGUCUGUAUGGAAAUGCAGGAUAGAAGAAUGCAGGAGGAUUCAUUUUCACUUGUUAGAGAUAGCCGGUUUUACAGCUAAAGCAAAUCUCUAGCCAACUGUUAACAACUCAGCUAUUCUAGGGAUAGCGGUGAGGUGAGAAACUGGCACCCAGUCUUCUCCUUUCCCCACAUUUGGAGAAAACAAAGGAUUAGGUAAAACUCUUCUCAUUCUUCUCAUUCUCCACCGUGACCAGAGGUUCGCAGAACUGUUGAAACUAUAUUUAACUGGAGACAAGUCAAUCCAGAAGACACUUGCUCACACAGCAACCUUUCUGCUAGAAAGUGAACCUUCCUGCUAGGAAAAACAAAAAACAAACAAACAAACAAAAAACGCGCUGUUUUCACUUCAUUCUUUCUUAGUUGGAUUCCCUCAUCCGCUGCCUGCUGUUCUACUAGAGAAUGACUGUGCUGAAUAUGAUUUAAAGUUUGAGCAAGGUAGGAUGUCUCUGUGUCCAACAAUUCCACAGAGAGUAGGUCAUAGGCUAGCGCCCAUAAACAAUAAUCACAAGCUAGGAGUUGGGGUGUAUGCCUUUAAUCCUAAUACCCAAGAGGCAGGCGUAGGUGGAUCUCUGUGAGUUUGAGGCCAGUUGGGUUGACAUGGUGAGUUCAAGGCCAGCCAGGGCUAUGUCCUAAGAGACCAAUGUCAAAAAGAAAAGAAAAAAAUAAGAAAAGGAAAGAAAAGAAAAGCAUCAUAAUUUUCUUGAACCAAAGAAGUGAUUUGCUAGUGAUGGACUGGAAUCCAUGAUGAGGUGAGAGCUGGUGGGAGGUUUUAUCCGGUGGAUUUAUUUCUGUUAUGGUUUGAUUUGUACAAAGUGUCUGUCUCCUCUUGAAAUUCAAGCCUUUUAGGAAACAUGUAAAAAAAAAAUUCCAUCCUUGUCCAUAGGAGUUCGUUUCUCUUGGUAAAAUGCCUUUGUGAACCCUCCUUUUUAUUCAAGAUCCUGGGGCUCUUUUCUUAUGCUCCUGUUUCAGCAUUUGGAGCCACGGAGGAGUCUGUGACAACGAAGGAAUGUGAAGGAAAGGUUAACCCUCAUGCCGACAGACUUUCCUUGGCAGAGCUGUGGAGUGUGACAAUGGUGUUUGUGUCCAAACCAUCAAACGCCAUUAUCACACUAAAUAGCUACCGCUAGGCAAUCCGUCUACUCCAUACGUGACUUGACAUCUGUUCUCUCCCAGCAAGAAGUUUUGUCUUAUGCUAACGCUCUCCAUUGUGUGUAAUUUAUGAAUAAAAUCUGGUCCUCUUGUGCUCACAACUGUA